rnacentral:rRNA from 1 species
UACGAAGGGGGCUAGCGUUGUUCGGAAUUACUGGGCGUAAAGGGCGCGUAGGCGGUGUGUCAAGUCAGGCGUGAAAGCCCCGGGCUCAACCUGGGAACCGCGCUUGAGACUGGCACGCUCGAGUUCGGGAGAGGAUGGUGGAAUUCCCAGUGUAGAGGUGAAAUUCGUAGAUAUUGGGAAGAACACCGAUGGCGAAGGCGGCCAUCUGGACCGACACUGACGCUGAGGCGCGAAAGCGUGGGGAGCAAACAGG